UGCUGGGCUGAUGCCUGGAGCCAGCCCUAAUCAGAGGGAGAAUGGCCUUUUAUUUUCCUGUGCAGUAGGGACUUUGAAAAUCCUCCCUGAGGAUCUCUGAAUGGGGAAGAUUUCCUGCUGGUGAAAGUAGGUUUGCGCUGCACAUUUCAGAGACAAGUGCCAUGCAGUGUGCUGUAUCUGGCUGGAGGAUUUGGCCUGUCCCAUAUUCCUGGAGUUCUACAUUCCAUAUUAAAGAUCAGACUCUUAACAGAACUGGGGGCUAAGCUGCCUAUUUAUUUUUUAAAUCAAUAUGUUUUUCAGCGAAGCAUCUGAAUAAACAAAGUAGCAGUGGCCACCUUCUCCUGCCUUCCCUUCUUGCCUUGCCUGAAUCCUCUCUAAUGAGUGGUCAUCACAGAACACUACAAAACUAGUAUCAGACACAACAGUGACAUCAAGAGAUGUCUCAGCUACAGGAUGACAGAUUUCUUGCCCUCUUCACUGCCCUGCCUUGCUCCAGAAGAAACAGAAUGGGAAAGAUAAAGAGACAAAUCAGCUAUUAUGGCUUUGAUUCUCAGACUGGUAUUGUCUUUGCUUGCCUGCUACUUAAUGAGUAACCCAAGCCACUGACCUAGGUGGAGCUCCAGCACAUACAUCAGUACAGCCUCUUUCACUGCUAGUCCUUCACUUCUGCUCUCAUUUGUUCCAUCAGUGCAUCCUCUCUUCUCCCUCCAUCUCCUGGCUGUUUGGAUAAAGAUACACCAUAAUGGGAAGGGACCAUCCAUCCAUUGAUUGCUCUUUCUUAUGAAAGAUUAAGACAUUGGUUAUGUUGCCAAUUCAGCUGUGAAGGAAUAAGUUCAACUGUGAAGGAAGCCCUGAUGGAAGGCCCUGGAAGGUAACAGGUCCAGAGGUGGGAGGAAAGUUUGAAGAAAAUCUGUUCAAUGGAUCUGGAGUUUUCUGAACAUGAAAAAUUGGUUUUUCAGCUGUGAAAAAUUGUCCAGGUGCUUUUUCAUGCUGGUAUAAUAAAACCAACUGGAACAUA